rnacentral:rRNA from 1 species
AACGAACGCUGGCGGCAUGCCUAACACAUGCAAGUCGAACGAGACCUUCGGGUCUAGUGGCGCCCGGUGUCGUAAGCCGUGGGAACCUGCACUUAUGUUCGGCAUAACUCCCCGAAAGGGGUGACAAUACCGGACAAUGUCUUCUAACCAACGAUUUAUCGCCCUUGGUUGGGCCCGCGUUGGAUUCGCUGGUUGGUAGGCUAAAAGCCUACAAAGGCCACCAUUCAUAGCUGGACUGGGAGGAUGAUCAGCAACACUGGGAGUGGGACCCGUCCCGGACUCCUAGGGGAGGCAGCAGUGGGGAAGAUUGGACAACGCGCGAGAGCCUGAGGCAGCCGGGUCGCGAAAGUGAUGAAGGACGUAGGGUCGUAAAGCUCUUUUACCCGGGAUGAUAAUGAGAGAACCGGGAGAAUAAGCUCGGGCUAACUCCGU